CGGGGGCGACGGGCGGAACUUAAGCAUAUCAGUACGCCCCGGAGGAGAAACCAACCGGGAUUCCCCGUAGCGGCGAGCGACGCGGGAGGAGCCCGCCCCGAAGGCGCGCUGUGGGGCGCAGGCGCAGGCCCGCCGCGAGGGGGCCCGAGGGCCCCGCCCGAGAGGGUGCAAGCCCCGUACGGCGGCCGCCGGGCCUGCGCGGCGAGUAGCGCUGCUUGAGCGUGCAGCGCGAAGGGAGGCGCGGCCCUUCCAAGGCUAAAUACGCCCCGGGACCGAUAGCGGACCAAGUAGCGCGAGCGAACGGUGAAAAGGACGCCCUGCGGCCGCUCAAAAGACCUGAACCCGGCCGGCCGCCGGCCCGCCGGCCCCGUCUCGAAACACGGACCGAGGAGCCACGCGCCGCGGCGAGCCCGAGGGAGCCCCCGCGGCGGAGCGAGCGCGAGACGCCCCGGGCCCGCCGCCCCCUGCGGGCGUGCGCGGGCCGAGCCGCGGCGCGUGGGCCCGAAAGGCGGUGAUCUAUGCCCGGCGAGGGCGAGGCCGGGCGAAAGCCUGGUGGAGGCCCGCCGCGGUGCUGACGCGCAGAUCGCUCGUCGGAGCCGGGCAUGGGGGCGAAAGACUCAUCGAACCGCCUGGUAGCUGGUUGCCUCCGAAAUGUCU